GAUGAAGAACGCAGCGAAAUGCGAUACGUAAUGUGAAUUGCAGAAUUCAGUGAAUCAUCGAAUCUUUGAACGCAUAUUGCGCUCUCUGGUAUUCCGGAGAGCAUGCUUGUUUGAGUAUCAGUAAACACCUCAACUUCCAUAUCUUUUUUGAAAUGGGAGUUGGACUUGAGUGAUCCCAACGCUUUUCCUCACCGAAAAGUGGCGGGUUACUUGAAAUGCAGGUGCAGCUGGACUUUUCUCUGAGCUAUAAGCAUAUCUAUUUAGUCUGCCUAAAAAACAGAUUAUUACCUUUGCUGCAGCUAACAUAAAGGAGAUUAGUUCUUGUGCUGACUGAUGCAGGAUUCACAAAGACAGGCUUCGGCCGACUUUGUAAACUCGAUCUCAAAUCAAGUAAGACUACCCGCUGAACUUAAGCAUAUCAAUAAGCGCAGGA
rnacentral:misc_RNA from 1 species